GGGGAUUUAGCUCAGCAGUAGAGCGCUUGCCUAGCAAGCACAAAGCCCUGGGUUCAGUCCCCAGCUCCG
rnacentral:tRNA from 1 species